rnacentral:rRNA from 1 species
CUCCUACGGGACGCAGCAGUGGGGAAUAUUGCACAAUGGGGGGAACCCUGAUGCAGCGACGCCGCGUGGGUGAAGGAGCGUUUCGGCGCGUAAAGCCCUAUCGGCAGGGAAGAAGAUGACGGUACCUGACCAAGAAGCCCCGGCUAACUACGUGCCAGCAGCCGCGGUAAUACGUAGGGAGCAAGCGUUAUCCGGAUUUACUGGGGGUAAAGGGGGCGCAGACGGCAAUGCAAGCCAGGAGUGAAAGCCCGGGGCCCAACCCCCGGACUGCUCUUGGAACUGCAUGGCUGGGGUACAGGAGGGGG